UUUCGGACUGAGUGGCUAAGCGAAAGUGAUAAGUAUCCCACCUGGGGAGUACGUUCGCAAGAAUGAAACUCAAAGGAAUUGACGGGGGCCCGCACAAGCGGUGGAGCAUGUGGUUUAAUUCGAUGAUACGCGAGGAACCUUACCAAGGCUUAAAUGUAGAUUGACAGGUUUAGAGAUAGACUUUUCUUCGGACAAUUUACAAGGUGCUGCAUGGUUGUCGUCAGCUCGUGCCGUGAGGUGUCAGGUUAAGUCCUAUAACGAGCGCAACCCCUAUUGUUAGUUGCCAGCGAGUAGUGUCGGGAACUCUAACAAGACUGCCGGUGCAAACCGUGAGGAAGGUGGGGAUGACGUCAAAUCAUCACGGCCCUUACGUCUUGGGCUACACACGUGCUACAAUGGCCAGUACAGAAAGCAGCUACCAGGCAACUGGAUGCGAAUCUCAAAAACUGGUCUCAGUUCGGAUUGGAGUCUGCAACUCGACUCCAUGAAGCUGGAAUCGCUAGUAAUCGGAUAUCAGCCAUGAUCCGGUGAAUACGUUCCCGGGCCUUGUACACACCGCCCGUCAAGCCAUGGAAGCCGGGGGUACCUGAAGUCGGUCGCCGCAAGGAGCUGCCUAGGGUAAAACUGGUAACUAGGGCUAAGUCGUAACAAGGUAACCGC
rnacentral:rRNA from 1 species